rnacentral:rRNA from 1 species
UAGGGAAUCUUCCGCAAUGGGCGAAAGCCUGACGGAGCAACGCCGCGUGAGUGAUGAAGGUCUUCGGAUCGUAAAACUCUGUUAUUAGGGAAGAACAAAUGUGUAAGUAACUAUGCACGUCUUGACGGUACCUAAUCAGAAAGCCACGGCUAACUACGUGCCAGCAGCCGCGGUAAUACGUAGGUGGCAAGCGUUAUCCGGAAUUAUUGGGCGUAAAGCGCGCGUAGGCGGUUUUUUAAGUCUGAUGUGAAAGCCCACGGCUCAACCGUGGAGGGUCAUUGGAAACUGGAAAACUUGAGUGCAGAAGAGGAAAGUGGAAUUACAUCUGUAGCGGUGAAAUGCGCAGAGAUAUGGAGGAACACCAGUGGCGAAGGCGACUUUCUGGUCUGUAACUGACGCUGAUGUGCGAAAGCGUGGGGAUCAAACAGG